rnacentral:rRNA from 1 species
UACGGAGGGGGCUAGCGUUGUUCGGAAUUACUGGGCGUAAAGCGCGCGUAGGCGGCUUUGUAAGUUAGAGGUGAAAGCCCAGGGCUUAACCCUGGAAUUGCCUUUAAGACUGCAUCGCUAGAAUCGUGGAGAGGUGAGUGGAAUUCCGAGUGUAGAGGUGAAAUUCGUAGAUAUUCGGAAGAACUCCAGUGGCGAAGGCGACUCACUGGACACGUAUUGACGCUGAGGUGCGAAAGCGUGGGGAGCAAACAGG